rnacentral:rRNA from 1 species
AUACGGAGGGUGCAAGCGUUAUCCGGAAUCAUUGGGUUUAAAGGGUCCGUAGGCGGACUAAUAAGUCAGGGGUGAAAUCCCACAGCUUAACUGUGGAACUGCCUUUGAUACUGUUAGUCUUGAGUUAUAUGGAAGUAGAUAGAAUGUGUAGUGUAGCGGUGAAAUGCUUAGAGAUUACACAGAAUACCGAUCGCGAAGGCAGUCUACUACAUAUAUACUGACGCUAAUGGACGAAAGCGUGGGGAGCGAACAGGAUUAGAAACCCUAGUAGUCC